rnacentral:tRNA from 1 species
GGGGGCGUAGCUCAGUAGGUAGAGCGCUCGCCUUAAAAUCGAGUUGUCAGGGGUUCAAUUCCCCUCGUCUCCACCA